AUUUAAAAGCCCAUGUUUCGGUGGACAUAGGAAUAGACCUACCGAACCUGUCUUCUUCAGAACCUGUACCAAUAGUACUGCAGUGAAUCCUGUGACCAUGAAGCUGCUCAUCCUGUGUAUCUGCCUGACCAGCUCCAUAUCGGCUGUCCCGCUUCCCUCUUUCUUUCACUUCAUGCCUCACUUUGGGCCCAGACAGGCUGGCCCACCCACACAGGUACGGCAACAGGUACACUUGCUG